CCUACGGGUGGCAGCAGUGAGGAAUAUUGGUCAAUGGGCGCGAGCCUGAACCAGCCAAGUCGCGUGAGGGAGGACGGCCCUACGGGUUGUAAACCUCUUUUGCCGGGGAGCAACGGGCGCCACGUGUGGCGUCACUGAGAGUACCCGGAGAAAAAGCAUCGGCUAACUCCGUGCCAGCAGCCGCGGUAAUACGGAGGAUGCGAGCGUUAUCCGGAUUUAUUGGGUUUAAAGGGUGCGUAGGCGGAACGUAAAGUCAGUGGUAAAAUGGAGGGGCUCAACCCCUUCCCGCCGUUGAAACUGGCGUUCUUGAGUGGGAGAGAAGUAUGCGGAAUGCGUGGUGUAGCGGUGAAAUGCAUAGAUAUCACGCAGAACCCCGAUUGCGAAGGCAGCAUACCGGCUUCCGACUGACGCUGAAGCACGAAAGCGUGGGGAUCGAACAGGAUUAGAUACCCUAGUAGUC
rnacentral:rRNA from 1 species